GACGAACGCUGGCGGCGUGCUUAACACAUGCAAGUCGAGCGGUAAGGCCCUUUCGGGGGUACACGAGCGGCGAACGGGUGAGUAACACGUGGGUGACCUGCCUUUAGCUCUGGGAUAAGCCUGGGAAACUGGGUCUAAUACCGGAUACGACUCCGCGGUGCAUGCUGUGGGGUGGAAAGCCUUGUGCGGCUGGAGAUGGGCCCGCGGCCUAUCAGCUUGUUGGUGGGGUGAUGGCCUACCAAGGCGACGACGGGUAGCCGGCCUGAGAGGGCGACCGGCCACACUGGGACUGAGACACGGCCCAGACUCCUACGGGAGGCAGCAGUGGGGAACCUUGCGCAAUGGGCGAAAGCCUGACGCAGCGACGCCGCGUGAGGGAUGACGGCCU
rnacentral:rRNA from 1 species